CUACGGGCGGCUGCAGUGAGGAAUAUUGCGCAAUGGGGGAAACCCUGACGCAGCGACGCCGCGUGGAUGAUGAAGGCCUUCGGGUCGUAAAAUCCUGUCAGAAGGAAAGAAGUGUAUGGUAGCUAAUAUCUGCCAUACUUGACGGUACCUUCAAAGGAAGCACCGGCUAACUCCGUGGCCAGCAGCCGCGGUAAUACGGAGGGUGCAAGCGUUGUUCGGAAUUACUGGGCGUAAAGCGCGCGUAGGCGGUUUUAUAAGUCAGAUGUGAAAGUCCACGGCUCAACCAUGGAAGUGCAUUUGAAACUGUAAGACUUGAGUAUUGGAGGGGGUAGUGGAAUUCCCGGUGUAGAGGUGAAAUUCGUAGAUAUCGGGAGGAAUACCGGUGGCGAAGGCGACUAUCUGGCCAAAUACUGACGCUGAGGUGCGAAAGCGUGGGGAGCAAACAGGAUUAGAUACCCUAGUAGUC
rnacentral:rRNA from 1 species